rnacentral:ncRNA from 1 species
UUAUUGGAGAGUUUGAUCCUGGCUCAGGACGAACGCUGGCGGCGUGCCUAAUACAUGCAAGUCGAGCGGAUCUUCGGGAGCUUGCUCCCGAUGGUCAGCGGCGGACGGGUGAGUAACACGUGGGCAACCUGCCUGUAAGACUGGGAUAACUCCGGGAAACCGGGGCUAAUACCGGAUAAUUCAUUCCCUCACAUGAGGGAAUGCUGAAAGACGGCUUUUGCUGUCACUUACAGAUGGGCCCGCGGCGCAUUAGCUAGUUGGUGAGGUAACGGCUCACCAAGGCCACGAUGCGUAGCCGACCUGAGAGGGUGAUCGGCCACACUGGGACUGAGACACGGCCCAGACUCCUACGGGAGGCAGCAGUAGGGAAUCUUCCGCAAUGGACGAAAGUCUGACGGAGCAACGCCGCGUGAGCGAAGAAGGCCUUCGGGUCGUAAAGCUCUGUUGUCAGGGAAGAACAAGUACCGGAGUAACUGCCGGUACCUUGACGGUACCUGACCAGAAAGCCACGGCUAACUACGUGCCAGCAGCCGCGGUAAUACGUAGGUGGCAAGCGUUGUCCGGAAUUAUUGGGCGUAAAGCGCG